rnacentral:rRNA from 1 species
GAUGAACGCUGGCGGCGUGCCUAAUACAUGCAAGUCGAGCGAACAGACGAUGAGCUUGCUCCUCUGACGUUAGCGGCGGACGUGUGAGUAACACGUGGAUAACCUACCUAUAAGACUGGGAUAACUUCGGGAAACCGGAGCUAAUACCGGAUAAUAUAUUGAACUGCAUGGUUCAAUAGUGAAAGACGGUAUUGCUGUCACUUAUAGAUGGAUCCGCGCCGCAUUAGCUAGUUGGUAAGGUAACGGCUUACCAAGGCAACGAUGCGUAGCCGACCUGAGAGGGUGAUCGGCCACACUGGAACUGAGACACGGUCCAGACUCCUACGGGAGGCAGCAGUAGGGAAUCUUCCGCAAUGGGCGAAAGCCUGACGGAGCAACGCCGCGUGAUUGAUGAAGGUCUUCGGAUCGUAAACCUCUGUUAUUAGGGAAGAACAAAUGUGUAAGUAACUAUGCACGUCUUGACGGUACCUAAUCAGAAAGCCACGGCUAACUACGUG